UUUGUCUUUAACUGAUAUGAAGAGCUUGCUCUGAUUUGAUCCCUAUCUGACAAAGAGUGGCGAACGGGUGAGUAACACGUGGGUAACCUACCUCUUAGCAGGGGAUAACAUUUGGAAACAAGUGCUAAUACCGUAUAAUACCAACAACCGCAUGGUUGUUGGUUGAAAGAUGGUUCUGCUAUCACUAAGAGAUGGACCCGCGGUGCAUUAGCUAGUUGGUAAGGUAACGGCUUACCAAGGCAAUGAUGCAUAGCCGAGUUGAGAGACUGAUCGGCCACAAUGGGACUGAGACACGGCCCAUACUCCUACGGGAGGCAGCAGUAGGGAAUCUUCCACAAUGGGCGCAAGCCUGAUGGAGCAACGCCGCGUGUGUGAUGAAGGGUUUCGGCUCGUAAAACACUGUUAUAAGAGAAGAACGGCACUGAGAGUAACUGUUCAGUGUGUGACGGUAUCUUACCAGAAAGGAACGGCUAAAUACGUGCCAGCAGCCGCGGUAAUACGUAUGUUCCAAGCGUUAUCCGGAUUUAUUGGGCGUAAAGCGAGCGCAGACGGUUAUUUAAGUCUGAAGUGAAAGCCCUCAGCUCAACUGAGGAAUGGCUUUGGAAACUGGAUGACUUGAGUGCAGUAGAGGAAAGUGGAACUCCAUGU
rnacentral:rRNA from 1 species